UCGACCUCAAAUCAGUAG
rnacentral:rRNA from 1 species